ensembl:lncRNA
GAACAGCCAGGUGGUGCUGAAGAGGCAGCAGAGGACUCUGGCGUUACUGUGCUACCUGUGCAGGAGGGUGGAUCAGCAGAGCAGGCUGAGGCGGGGACUGAUCACCCAGUGUCACAGUCAGGAGACAGUGGUACAGGUGCAGCCUUCAACCCCACCAGCAACUCAGAUAACGAAACGAUGCCCUUUCCACCUCACCCCUCAUUGCACCUCUCAGUCCCCCUCUGACAGUGAUGGGGACGAGUUACGCAGGGCGGCGGAAGAGGACGAUGGUGCAGAUGAGCUAAUCGUGCUGGACCCCUGAACAUAUGAACGUCUUAGUAUGGCUUCCCCUAUCUGCCUGCAGCCGCUGAUGAGAAGGUUCCAGACUGCACUGAAGAACCACCUCCAUAAGCAACUGGGGAGACUCAACGUGGAGUUGCGGGAGAAGAUGGCUAUUUAGACCGCAGGCGGCCACCCAGCGCCAACAGGCCCAGGAUCAGCUAGAGGGGGUCCGAAGCCAGUACCGCACCAGCCAGGCCGGCAAGCAGAGGUCACACGUGUCCCAGUUGCAGAGUGAGGUAGAGAACCUGGCACUGCGUCUGUUCUACAUGCAGGUGGUUAACGCCGACCUGCACUCCGACAUCACGGCCAUGAAGAACACCUCGCGCAAGCCCCACUCCGAGAAGACCCAGGCAGAAACACACCUGAUUCAAGAUCAGCCAAAUGGCAUGCUCGUUCUAAUGUUAACCUUUCUGAGCCAAACAGCAAAACUGGUCCUGGACCAGAAUAGAAUUUAAAAUCAUUCUUAUUACUAUGGCUGAAUCUUCUCUCUCUCUCUCUCUCUACGCCCCUCUCAAUUCAAUUUCAAUUCAAUUUAAAGGCUUUUUUGGCAUGGGAAACGUGUUAACAUUGCCAAAGCAAGUGAAAAAAUCAAUGAACAAAAGUUGAAUAAACAACAACAAUUUUCAGUAAACAUUACACUCACAGAAGUUCCAAAAGAAUAAAGACAUGUCAAAUGUCGUUAUGUCUAUAUACUGUACAGUGUUGUAAAGUACGAAAGGGAAAAUAAAUAAACAUAAAUAUGGGUUGUAUUUACAAUGGUGCUAGUUCUAUACUGGUUGCCCUUUUCUUAUGGCAACAAGUCACAAAUCUUGCUGUUGUGAUGGCACACUGUGAUAUUUCACCCAGUAGAUAUGGGAGUUUUGUGUAUCUGUGUAAUCUGAGG